rnacentral:lncRNA from 1 species
GGAGGGAAAGCUUCAUAAUUCGAAGAGCAUGAAACAAAACUCCUAGAUCAAAGCCCCAAUUCCAGAAAUCCCUAAAUUGUUGUCGCCACUACCUAGGUGUGCAAACAACACCAGUCGCCGAUCAGCGGUUGUCCCGAUCUGUGGCCUACCUCAGAAAGAAUUGAAGAAGAUUUGUUGGCAUUUCACAGCCGAUGGAAAUAUACAGGGAAACUAUUCAACCCUUAUUCUCAUAUUCUCUAUGUUAGUGCGUUUGUGUGGGAUUCUAAUCUUCUUUUUGCUUGAUAGCUGAUGGAAAUAUACACGGGAAAUUACUACCAGGGCGAUACACUCAUCUUCACCUGACGAAUGAAGGGGAAUACCAUCUGUAGAUGUCUCUUGGAUUCGACCAUCGCUACUACAACAAUAAGCUCUAAUAGGCGAAAGGUUUUUGCGCCAUCCCUGGUCAUCGCAAUUUGCGACGAACUCUCCUCAGUGCCCAGCAGAAUCCCUCCAUCAGCGGAGAGCUCCGAGUUACCACCGCGCAGGAGCCACGCACGCCGCCGGCUACUAGAAGAGGGAAAAAUCCGCAUUUUUCUCAAUUUAUUUCAUGAUGAACUGAGUCCCCCAAUUUUGUUGCUUAUCUUGCUAAUCUCUUGUGAUUUUGCCAUUUUUUAGCGCCGUGAGGAGUAAGGCCAGAAUGGGUUCCUAUUUAGCUGCGGAGCAGUGCCUUGGCGGUGGCGGAGGCCAUCGACACGGCCGUCGCCGAUGACGUUCUUGACGUGAGCUGCAUCACCGACAGCGGCACCAAUAGGCUCUCUCAUCUCUCCUGUCGGAGUCGAAGCUGCUGCUUCCCUGGUUUGAUGGAGCAGGGCAGGCACCCCUCUCAACUCGAAGGAAUGGAUACACAGCCUGCUAGCUCCAGAUUUUGUCGUCCAAGCCCACAAAACUAAGCCUGAUAGUCCUUCAAAACAAAAGCUAAGAUACUUAUUUAUAUCUUUAAAUAUUAUCACCAUUUGAUGGUUUUCAAUC